GAGUUUGAUCUUGGCUCAGAUUGAACGCUGGCGGCAUGCCUUACACAUGCAAGUCGAACGGCAGCACGGGAGCUUGCUCCUGGUGGCGAGUGGCGAACGGGUGAGUAAUGCAUCGGAACGUAUCCUGGAGUGGGGGAUAACGCAGCGAAAGUUACGCUAAUACCGCAUAUUCUGUGAGCAGGAAAGCGGGGGACCUUCGGGCCUCGCGCUCUUGGAGCGGCCGAUGUCGGAUUAGCUAGUUGGUGAGGUAAAGGCUCACCAAGGCGACGAUCCGUAGCAGGUCUGAGAGGAUGAUCUGCCACACUGGAGCUGAGACACGGUCCAGACUCCUACGGGAGGCAGCAGUGGGGAAUUUUGGACAAUGGGGGCAACCCUGAUCCAGCCAUGCCGCGCGAGUGAAGAAGGCCUCGGUUGUAAG
rnacentral:rRNA from 1 species